rnacentral:misc_RNA from 1 species
GAUGAAGAACGUAGCGAAAUGCGAUAAGUAAUGUGAAUUGCAGAAUUCAGUGAAUCAUCAAAUCUUUGAACGCACAUUGCGCCCCCUGGUAUUCCGGGGGGCAUGCCUGUCCGAGCGUCAUUACAACCCUCAAGCUCAGCUUGGUAUUGGGCCCCGCCGACCCGGCGGGCCCUAAAGUCAGUGGCGGUGCCGUCCGGCUCCGAGCGUAGUAAUUCUUCUCGCUCUGGAGGUCCGGUCGUGUGCUCGCCAGCAACCCCCAAUUUUUUUCAGGUUGACCUCGGAUCAGGUAGGGAUACCCGCUGAACUUAAGCAUAUCAAUAAGCGGAGGA